CUAGCUGCUCUAUACUACUGUUUGUGGUAUUGUAUGAUUACAAGUACUUCUACCUUUCGCUUUGUAUACUAGGGAAAUACCUAUGUAUACGGCGGCGGGUCUGUUAGCGAGUCCGGAGAAACGAGUAAUCCGGGGCGUGACAUUAAAUAUUAAAUAUAAAAUUUAAAUAUAAGAUUUGAAAUUUAAAAUUUAAAAUUAAAUUGGAAUUCUGAUUGAAAAUUUGAAUCUAAAAUCAGCAUAAAAAAUUA
rnacentral:lncRNA from 1 species